rnacentral:lncRNA from 1 species
CGAACACCAUUUUAUCUUUGAAAAAGAUAUCGAACAUCGCUAUGGCAUAUGACCCCUAGCACCCAUUUAUUUUUGCUAUCGCAAAAGGGUCCACCAACGAUGGUACCAUAAGUCUCACUGUAAGCUAAACCAUCAAUAUUAAGCUUGAAAAAAUUAACAGAAGGAGAAAACCAUUUUUCUCAAAAUUGCAGACUCUCAUCUCUCG